AUUGAACGCUGGCGGCAGGCCUAACACAUGCAAGUCGAGCGGAGAGGCGGACGGGUGAGUAAUGCCUAGGAAUCUGCCUGGUAGUGGGGGAUAACGGACGGAAACGGGCGCUAAUACCGCAUACUUUAAGAUGAGCCUAGGUCGCCUUAGCUGGUUGGUGGGGUAAAGGCUUACCAAGGCGACGAUUCGAAGCUGGUCUGAGAGGAUGAUCAGUCACACUGGAACUGAGACACGGCCCAGACUCCUACGUGAGGCAGCAGUGGGGAAUAUUGGGCAAUGGGCGAAAGCCUGAUCCAGCCAUGCCGCGUGUGUGAAGAAGGUCUUCGGAUUGUAAAGCACUGUAAGUUGGGAGGCGUUACCAACAGAAUAAGCACCGGCUAACUUCGUGCCAGCAGCCGCGGUAAUAC
rnacentral:rRNA from 1 species